rfam:Myotis brandtii contig162128, whole genome shotgun sequence.
GGUGGUUCUCGGGUGACACACCCCAGAAUCGGGCUCCCUCCUCUCUGGUUCCAAAUAUGUCACCCGAGAACCGCA